UGGGAUAAAUGUCUUGCUUUUUGAUCUGG
rnacentral:piRNA from 1 species